GACAGAGGGGGCGAGCGUUGUCCGGAGUCACUGGGCGUAAAGCGCGCGCAGGCGGCAACCUAAGUGUCGUGUGAAAGCCCCCGGCUCAACCGGGUGAGGCCAUGGCAAACUGGGUCGCUCGAGCUGCGGAGAGGCCCCUCGAAUUGCCGGUUUAGCGGUGAAAUGCGUAGAGAUCGGCAGGAAGACCAAGGGGGAAGCCAGGGGGCUGGCCGCAGGUUGACGCUGAGGCGCGACAGCGUGGGGAGCAAACCGG
rnacentral:rRNA from 1 species